GUCACGCCCGAAGUCAUUACUCUAACCCUUUCGGGGGAGGAGGGUGCCGAAGGCGGGGUUGAUGACUGGGGUGAAGUCGUAACAAGGUAGCCGUACCGGAAGGUGUGGCUGGAUCACCUCCUUUUAGGGAGACCUACUUUUGAUGAGAGUGCCAAAUCCAACAAAAAUAGCACCAUCAAAAGUCAUCCCAGGUCGUUACGAGAAAAAUGAAAAACACAACAACAGCUUUCAAACUCGGAAGUCCGGUUCAAAACCUAGGACAAUUCAGCACCUAGCUUCAAUCAAAAAGAAGCCAGAAUGCUGGACUAACAAGUCCAGACAGAACCUUGAAAAUUGCAGAGAAACAAAAACUGGCAGUAGUUCGUAGUUAGAACUCCCAGCCGCAGGAAAGGAAACUGACCUACAGUUGAGAGAACUAACCAAACAAGAACAGAAAAUCUCUAAAAAAGAGAAAGUGGUCAAGAUAGAAAGGGCUGACGGUGGAUACCUAGGCACACAGAGG
rnacentral:sRNA from 1 species